UGAGUACGAGAUGCUACGGCAUCGAAGCAGUCUAUGUCAUACUUCCAAGAAAAGCUUGCACUGUCAUAAACAAAGAAUGCCUGUACCAUAACCGACACAGGUGGGUAGGUAGAGUAUACUAAGGGGCGCGAGAUAACUCUCUCUAAGGAACUCGGCAAAAUGACUCCGUAACUUCGGGAGAAGGAGUGCCUUAUUUCUAAGGUUGCAAUAACAAGAUCCAAGCAACUGUUUGCCAAAAACACAGGUCUCCGCUAAGUCGUAAGACGAUGUAUGGGGGCUGACGCCUGCCCAGUGCCAGAAGGUUAAAGAAGUUGGUUAGCAUUAGCGAAGCUGAUAACUGAAGCCCUGGUGAACGGCGGCCGUAACAAUAACGGUCCUAAGGUAGCGAAAUUCCUUGUCGGGUAAGUUCCGACCCGCACGAAAGGCGUAAUGAUUUGGAUACUGUCUCGGAGAGGGGCUCGGUGAAAUAGACUUGUCUGUGAAGAUGCGGACUACCUGCACCUGGACAGAAAGACCCUAUGAAGCUUUACUGUAACUUGAGAUUGAAAUUGGACUUUAUUUGCGCAGUAUAGGUGGGAGGCGUUGAGAAUAAUCUUGCGGGAUUGUUGGAGCCAUCAGUGAGAUACCACUCUUGUAAUGUUAGAUUUCUAACUUUGUAUCAUUAUCUGGUCAAAGAACAGUUUCAGGCGGGCAGUUUGACUGGGGCGGUCGCCUCCCAAAGGGUAACGGAGGCGCACAAAGGUUUCCUCUGAACGGGUAGAAAUCGUAUCUAGAGUGUAAAGGCAUAAGGAAGCUUGACUGUGAGACCUACAAGUCGAGCAGGGACGAAAGUCGGUCUUAGUGAUCUGACGGUGCUGAGUGGAAAGGCCGUCACUCAACGGAUAAAAGUUACUCUAGGAUAACAGGCUGAUCUCCCCCAAGAGUUCACAUCGACGGGGAGGUUUGGCACCUCGAUGUCGGCUCAUCGCAUCCUGGGGCGGUAGUCCGUCCCAAGGGUUGGGCUGUUCGCCCAUGAAAGCGGUACGCGAGCUGGGUUCAGAACGUCGUGAGACAGUUCGGUCCAUAUCCGGUGUAGGCGUUAGAAUAUUGAGAGGAGCCUUCUCUAGUACGAGAGGACCGAGAAGGACAUACCUCUGGUGUACCAGUUAUCGUGCCAACGGUAAACGCUGGGUAGCUAUGUAUGGAGUGGAUAACCGCUGAAAGCAUCUAAGUGGGAAGCCCACCUCAAGAUAAGUAUUCUCA
rnacentral:rRNA from 1 species